AGUUUCAUUUGCCAUAAUUACACUUGCCAUAAUAUCUUUGCCAUAAGAAACACUUGCCAUAAGUUACACUUGCCAUGAAUAACAUUUGCCAAAAGUUACACUUGCUAUAAUGGUUACACUUGCCAUAAUCACACUUUCUAUAAUUACUUUUGUCCUAAUUUUCUAAUUUUUAAAAAGAUGAAAAUCUGUCUUUUUUUUAAAUGCGGGAAAUUUUCCCAUGAAAAUUCCCAACUUUACUUCUCUCAUUGCUUUAUAACAGAACAGUUGACACAAGUUCAACUCCAUAUUGUCUCACAAUGGAGGACCCUUUGGUGACCUUCGAGACCACAAAAUGUGGUUUCGAAAAAAAAUUCUGAGGAAAAUUAUUUGGUUUACUAAGGGAACAAAAUGGAUUUGAAGUUUAUAAGGUGCUUUUAGACAACUCAAAAAUUAGAGAGGGUUCAGAAAAUGUGAUAAUAUCAAGAUCCACGUGUUAGACUGAAAGUUCAAUGCCCCGUAUCCGUUCUAUCUCAUUUCGGUGAAUCUUGUGGAACUUGUUUUAGGCAGCCAGGUAUCGUCUUCCACAAUGCUUUACAUAUAAGGGAAUAUUAUUACAAAGAAAAUUUAGUUAAUAAGAUGAGCAAACCUCAGAAAAAUAUCAGAUAUGAAAAGUAGCUUGGCUUUCGUUCAAAGACUUUAAAUAAAAACUCUAAAAUGCUAA